UGCUCAGUCGUGUCUGACUCUUUGUGACCCUAUGGACUGUCGCCCAUCAGGCUCCUCUGUCCAUGGAUUUUCCAGAGCCAGUCUUCACUCACCGCCAGAUACACAGGAGGCAGUGUAUGCAGCUCCAUCAUGAAGGCAGGGCUGGCGGGCCCUACGCUGACCUCAGACCACAUCUUCUUCCUCUGCAGCGUCUCAUCCCAGCAGACUGAGGGGGUGACUACACCUGGGAAUCUCAAAUCUGAAGCACCUAGCAUGGGUCCAUGUUCAAAAUGCUCAAUAGAUUCUGUGAGAGCAGCAAGGGAAGAAAUGAGACUCGGCCGGGCUCCGACUUCCCCUUUCCACGUCUGCCUCCAGGCCUGGAAGGAGCAGACACUGUGUGCCAUGCAGUCAUACUCGUGAGGAAACAAGCUCAGAGGCGUUGGAGCCCGCAAGUUAAACUAUUGAAGACUCUGCACCCAGAACCCGUGCUCUGAAAUAAGAGAAGCCACCGCAAUGAGAAGCGCAUUCACUACAGUGAAAAGUAGCCCCUGCUCCCACAAUUAGAGAAAGCCCGCAUGCAGCCAUGGAGACCCAGCACAACCAAUAAAUACAUAAUAUAUGUAUGUAAAGAAUCCCUCAUUGCUUAACUAAGAUCCUGUGUGCCCCAGGGCGCGGCCAAAAAUAAAACAUAAAAUAAAAUAAAAUAUUCAUUUGUCUUCUCAUUUUUAACUCUUAGG
ensembl:lncRNA